GAUGAAUGCUGGCGGCGUGCCUAAUACAUGCAAGUCGAGCGAACGGACGAGAAGCUUGCUUCUCUGAUGUUAGCGGCGGACGGGUGAGUAACACGUGGAUAACCUACCUAUAAGACUGGGAUACUUCGGGAAACCGUAACUAAUACCGGAUAAUAUUUUGAACCGCAUGGUUCAAAAGUGAAAAACGGGCUUGGUUUCACUUAUAGAUGGAUCCGCGCUGCAUUAGCUAGUUGGUAAGGUAACGGCUUACCAAGGCAACGAUGCAUAGCCGACCUGAGAGGGUGAUCGGCCACACUGGAACUGAGACACGGUCCAGACUCCUACGGGAGGCAGCAGUAGGGAAUCUUCCGCAAUGGGCGAAAGCCUGACGGAGCAACGCCGCGUGAGUGAUGAAGGUCUUCGGAUCGUAAAACUCUGUUAUUAGGGAAGAACAUAUGUGUAAGUAACUGUGCACAUCUUGACGGUACCUAAUCAGAAAGCCACGGCUAACUACGUG
rnacentral:rRNA from 1 species